AGUUUCUGCUGGGUUGGCUAAGCCCCUGAUUAAAUUAUAAAUGUGGCCAUAUGUUGUACUGAAAGCCUGAUUAUUAAUUACUUAUUAAUUACCACAGGGGCAAGCAGGACGAGACGGUUAUCCGGGACCACUGGGUUUGGAUGGCAAGCCGGUAAGUGUGGCCGAGGCAGAUUCUGGAAGGGCACGAUGGAACCUUUCUCAGAGCUCCCCGGCCUCACCGACACGAGUUCCAAACACUGCCUGGGUGUUAUCUCCUCGACUGUGUCUUAUCUCAGAGACGCCAGUACUAGGUCAAGAAGGUUCUUGCCAAUUGUGGCAAAGCCAGAAUGACAAAUCUUAUGCCCCUUCCUCUCCCUACUAAGCCACAGAGUCAUUAUUUUCUUAAUUGGUUGACAAAAGAGUCCAUCUCCAUUGCCCUGACAGGAAAGCCAAGUCCCAGAUCUUCCAAAAUUGGAGUUAACACCACAAAUUGAUUGUGUCGGACAUUAGGAUUUAUUUUUAUAUUCAUUUUAUUUUAUUUAAACCCUUACCUUCCGUCUUGGAAUCAAUACUGUGCAUUGGUUCCAAGGCAGAAGAGUGGUAAGGGCUGGGCAAUGGGGGGUAAGUGACUUGACCAGGGUCACACAUCUGGGAAGUGUCUGAGAUCAGAUUGGAACCUAGGACUUCCUGUCUCUAGGCCUGACUCUCAAUUCACUGAUUAUUACAUUCAUUUUAGAAUGGAGGGGCAUCUGAUUUUCUGGAAAUUCUUAUACAACUAAAGGAGCCCCACACUGAAUCAGAUCCAGCUCAAGGGAAGCUGCUGCCAUCGUUUGGCCAGUUUCCCUCCUUUGCCCUUCACUUUUGCUCGUUCUUUAUUCCAUACUAGGCAUUACCCAUCACCUCUCAAACUAGUUCAAAGUGCUAACUAAAGCUAAGCCCUGAUUUUCCUAAGCUUAACCUUUUACAAGGGCUUAACUUCCCCAAAGGAAGCUAGGUGGGUCAGUGGAUAGGGUGCCAGGCCUGGAAUAAGGAAGAUUCAUCCUUUCCAAGUUCAAAUCUGGCCUCAGACACUCCUAGCUGUGUGACCCUGGGCAAGUCAUUUAAUCCUGUUGGCCUCAGUUUCAUCAUCUGUAAAAUGAGCUGGAGAAGGAAAUAGUAAACCCCUCCAGUAUCUUUGCCAAGAAAACCCCAAAUGGGGUCACAAAGAGCUGUCUUCAGACAAAGGCAUGUCUGAAAAGACUGAAUAAACUUUUGCUAAGUUAGGGAUAAUUAGUACUU
rnacentral:lncRNA from 1 species